UUUCUCUGAUGAUUUUGCGUUUAGGUUUUGUUCGUUUUCUCUUCGAUUUUUUUCGUUUAGGUUCUCUUUGAUUUUGAAUUUAGGGUUUUGCUUUCCUUUCAAUUUCAAUGCAGGUGGUGUUCAUGACGAUUUUCAACCAAUCGCAUAUUCAUAGACCAUUGAAGCCUAAAGUUAUAUGCAAAAACACAUCUUCUGUGCAAGGAAUUCUCAGGCCACCCAUUCGAUGAUCAUAUCCAAAUUCUUCCUCUGCUUGGCUUAGCAACUCUUGAAAUGAUGCCUGGUUCAAGUAUGACACAGGGAUCACAAACCGUUUCAUUUCUUCUCCGACAUACACUGCAAGACACCCCUUCGCUACUUUUGAUGAUGUUUGGCUGCUACUCAGUGAACCACGUCUAAUAGCUGCAGUUGAGGCAAACUCAAAGUGAAGGGUUGCCGCUUCUGUUAGCUGCCUAAACAACUAUGACCUCAAUCCAUAUGAAGAGCGCGGGUAGUUCAUGUCAUUAUGCUCACCAAAGCCUUCUUCAGUUAUUGGCCGUGUGUUCGUGCCUGCAAAGCAAAGCAAAUAUUUAGGAUGAUACAAAAAACAACAGAUAAGUUCAAAAGAAUAUAGUUUGGUAGGGUUCGCAUUUCAGAUUUCCACUUAAGAGGAAACAUCAAAAUUAACAAAAGAAAUUCCUGAUGUGCAAAAUUGUCUCAACUUGCCAAUCCUAUUUUUCUAUGUUAUCAUUCCUAUGACUUUUUUGCAUUAUUUAAGUGAGCAGUUGUAAGAACCUAUCUUCAUUGCAGGGAUUUCUAGACCUUCCAUUGGAUGAUAGUACCAUUGCAUGCAUGUUCAUAAUUUGUCUUUUUUUGAGAGUUUCUCUUGAACUGGUUGUUGAGUAAAGUCAUUCUCACUGAGAGCUUUUACCACUGUUUGCUCUUUCUUUGAGUUCAUUAAUUUUAGAGACUUCCAUCAUGUUCGCCCUUCCACCGAACUAGCAGGAUUUAGAUAAGGGUUUAAAAUGUGCCAAUGCCAUACUUUGUUUUCUUGCAACCUUUACUUCAUUGAGAAUGCAGUGUUCUAAUUCACUUGGUGGUGGUAGUUGUUAAAUCUUCGAAAUUAACGAGGAAUUUUCUGUCCAAUCAGUCAUAUUGAAGGAAGGGCUUAUCAUCAUCAAACCAAUUGCUCUACAUUCAAUGACCUAAUAAAGCAUUCAGCCAAACCCUAAUAGUUGAUAAGCUAUCUUUUAUCUAAGCAUCCAAAUUUUACACAUUCCUUAUACUUCAGAUACUUACUGCUGCUUUUAAGUAUAUCAGACUAUUUCAAAUUCUCAACUUCCAUGAGUUUCUAAGCUUUAGGAGCUUUACAAUUGAGAUGACUAUUUGAUUCUUAGUUAACCAAAAAUUCUGUGCUUUCGGGCAACAACUUCGACGACAAGUCCAUGUGAAGAGCACGGGAAGUCUUUGUGAUUAUGGUCUCUACCACCUUUUUCUAGCAUCACUAGAAAAUACAACAUAUUAUGUGAUCAGUUAUUGGUAUCUUUUAUAAUUAUAUUUCUACUGACUUGCUUCCAAAAUUCUAUCAUGUGACAAUCAAGUUGAAAACCUUUGUAGGUUGAAGUUUUUUCCUUUGAAGAGUUUUUGUUUUGAGUCUUGUUGUAUCAUGUAUGGCGUGGAUCAUGGCUUGUGUCUGUGCAUGUGAGGAAAGUAUUUAACAUGACACAAUAAACACCAUGUGAAUUGAAUUCACAAAAAUAUAGUUUGAUGAUAUUCUCAUUUCAGAUUUCGAUAUAAGAGGAAACAUAACAAAAUUCCUCAUGUACAAAAACUGUCUCAACUAGUCAGUCCUACACUGUUCUAUGUUAUCAUACAAAUAUGACUUUUUUAUUCGGUACGAAUUAAUUAUAGGCCGUUUAAGCGAGAUGCUGUAUGUAAGAAGACAUCUUCCAUGCAAAGAAUCGGAAGACCGCCCAUUGGAUGAUAGUAACCAAAUUCCUCUUCAGAUUGACUAAGCAAUUCUUGAAAUAAAGGCUCGUUUAAGAAUGAUAUUGGAAUCAAGAACCUCCUCGCUUUCUCUCCAACAUACACUACAAGAUAUCCUUUUGGGACUUCCACUUCUUUGCUAGAUGAUUGGCUUGCACUGAAUGAUGGUCGUCUAAUACCAGCUAUUAGAGGUGCGUCAUUUAGCAACACCCACCAUCAUCAAAUGUAUCAAAGAGCUACCUUGCUGUGUAUGUCAUGGAGGAAAUGAAGCGGUUUGUUAUCCACAUUCAAAACUUGUUUAGUCAAGCAGAACAAGAAUUCAGAUAUGAUCAUUCAAUGGUUGGCCUCACAAUUAGUUGAAUGUGGCGCUUUCAAUUCUUUCCUUUCAAAAUGACAUAAUCAUAAAAUAAAAUAAAGACUUAAAUGCUUUUUUAGCUAUUUGCUGAGUCUUCAUCAAAGCAGUCAUCCAACCCAAGAGCCCUCUCAUUAUCGCUGUCAUCAAAUGAUAAACCAUCAGCUUCAAAGUCACCAUCCUCACUGUCCUCACUAUCCUCAGUUUCAUCACAUGCUUUAACAUCAUUGCCUACUUGAACAUCAUCACCUCCACCAACAUCAUUUCCUACUAGAACAUCUUCAACUCCACCUACAUCAUUGCCUACUUGAACAUCAUCACCUCCACCAACAUCAUUUCCUACUUGAACAUCUUCAACUCCACCUACAUUGCCUACUUGUACAUCACCACCUCCACCUAUAUCAUUUCCUACCUGAACAUCUUCAACUCCACUAACAUCAUUGCCUACUUCUACUGCAUUGCCUUUAAGCUCGACAUAUAUGUUGACUACAUAUUUCAUUUCUAAAGCAUAUUGAUAUACAUUGUGAGCAUCCACAUCAUUGACCAUUCUACUAUACCUAUCAGCAUCAUUGUUAUACCACCAUAACCAAUAUUAUGACUGCUCAAGACCAGUUAUCUCUUUCACUAUCCCCGUUGCUUCAAAUAAGCUCCAUCUAUCCGGAUCGAUUUCUAAUGCAUGCUCAUUCCCCCACUGUAAUAUAAAAUACAGUCCCUAAAAAAUCUACCCUUGUAAUGAACAAUCACAGUGAACUCCAUGACUUACAGGUUUCAACAACAGAUAAUGAAUAGAAGUAACUCACCUAUAGAACGAAGAACAAAUAAUGAAGAACAAAGAACUGAAGCGAUUGCGUUACUUGAUCAUGAAGUCGAGCAUUUCUCCAUCUUCAUUCGUUCGUCUCCUCCAACCCAGACACAGAGAUUCUAAUUUCAUCCAACAUACAUAACCCUAAUUUACAGGAACUAAAAGCAAAUGUACAUUUCUGAAUAUUUGACAUAUUUGGUGGGAAACUAAUAGAUAUACACGUGUACAACGUAUUAAGCUAAAAAAUAAAUAUAAAUCAUUUUCACAUCAGCAACGUUAGCCCAUUCAGCUUUUUUUAACAGAAUUCUAACCCCAGGGACUAACGCCAACGUGAAAAUGAGAUAUAAGGAUUCAGUAAAAAAAAAGAAGAUACAUGGACUAAAUUCAAAAACUCACUAACUUACAGGGACCAAGGAACUAUUUAAGCCUAAAAUAAAAUAAAGACUUAAAUGCAUUUUUGGUUAAUCUAUUUAGUGUUUUUAAUUUUUUUUAUCUUUCUUUUUUAAAACCGAGCUUUUAGGUUCUCUAUUUUAUAUUUUAUGAGAUUUUUUUGGUUCCUUCAUUUUUAGUAAAGUCCUAUCCGAAGUGGAAGAAGAGAAACUCAUGAGAGUCUUGAGAGAAAAUAGAUAGACACUUGGAUGGAAUGUCACUGAUCUGAAAAGAACAAGUCCAACUUAUUGUAUGCACAAAAUCAAACUUGGGGAAGAGUUCAAACAAGUAGUUCAAUCUCAAAUAAGAUAUAAUCCUACGAUGAAAGAGGUGGUGAGAAAUGAGGUACUCAAAUUACUAGAAGCAAGUAUGAUUUAUCAUAUUUCUGAUAGUUCAUGAGUCAGUCCUGUUUAGGGCUGGCAAAAACGGGUCCGGUCCGUUGGGCAUGCCCGUUUUGCUCGCACUUUUGUGUGGGGUGGGCAAAGGUUUUAGACCCUUCGACUCUAGUGUGACCGCUCCGCUCCGUCCCAUUUUUUAUGCGGCUUUUGCGGGCACGUUCAUUAACAUAAAUUUUGCAUUUUUAGGCUUAAAAAGUGCAGUGCUGGCGGGCUUAGUCCGCUCUGCCCUUACUUUUUACGUGGCGGACGAAGAUUUUAAGGCUUGCACCCUCAAUUAUGACCGCCCCGCCCUAUUUUUUGCGGGACAGGUCUAAACGGGGUGGACAUGACCGUUUGCCACCCCUAGGCCUGUUCAUGUGGUCUCAAAGAAGAGAGGUAUGACCAUCAUGAGAAACGAGAAGAACACGUUGUUUUAGACUUGUACCGUUACCAAGUGGUAAAUGUGCAUAGAUGUGAAUAUAAAUAUAGCACUUUAGUUUUUUGUUAUAAUUUUAUUAAUUUUUAUUGGUAUACACGCUCUUGCUCGAUGUG